AGAGAUCAUGGCUCAGGAUGAACGCUGGCGGCGUGCCUAAUACAUGCAAGUCGAGCGAACCGAUUAAGAGCUUGCUCUUAUGAAGUUAGCGGCGGACGGGUGAGUAACACGUGGGUAACCUGCCCAUAAGACUGGGAUAACUCCGGGAAACCGGGGCUAAUACCGGAUAACAUUUUGCACCGCAUGGCGCGAAAUUGAAAGGCGGCUUCGGCUGUCACUUAUGGAUGGACCCGCGUCGCAUUAGCUAGUUGGUGAGGUAACGGCUCACCAAGGCAACGAUGCGUAGCCGACCUGAGAGGGUGAUCGGCCACACUGGGACUGAGACACGGCCCAGACUCCUACGGGAGGCAGCAGUAGGGAAUCUUCCGCUAUGGACGAAAGUCUGACGGAGCAACGCCGCGUGAGUGAUGAAGGCUUUCGGGUCGUAAAACUCUGUUGUUAGGGAAGAACAAGUGCUAGUUGAAUAAGCUGGCACCUUGACGGUACCUAACCAGAAAGCCACGGCUAACUACGUGCCA
rnacentral:rRNA from 1 species